rnacentral:rRNA from 1 species
UACGCAGGGGGCUAGCGUUGUUCGGAUUUACUGGGCGUAAAGCGCACGUAGGCGGAUCGUUAAGUCGGGGGUGAAAUCCUGGAGCUCAACUCCAGAACUGCCUUUGAUACUGGCGACCUUGAGUCCGGGAGAGGUGAGUGGAACUGCGAGUGUAGAGGUGAAAUUCGUAGAUAUUCGGAAGAACACCAGUGGCGAAGGCGGCUCACUGGUCCGGUACUGACGCUGAGGUGCGAAAGCGUGGGGAGCGAACAGG